GGACGAGGGGCGACUGGGCGAGCGGCGAGCGGCGGCAGUGACGGGCUGGGGACGUGCAAUCGCACGCGCCGCCUACUACUCUGCCUAGCCCCUACACAUGGCUACAAGGGGCGACGGUGGCUGCGGCGGCUGCCACUGCCUCCAGCGCGGGUCGAGCUCCAGCGCGAACGCCGGCGGCGGCAGCGGCUGCUGGUGGCGUGGACCGUGUGGAGCCGGAGGGAGAUGCUGGUGGAGGCAGUGAGGAGACCCGGCAUGAACACAAUACCGACCUCAAAAUGUGCAAAACUGCUUUCAGGUAUAAAGAACGGAUGCGGGCAGACUGCCUUUCUCCUGCCAUCGUCCAGCAUGACACCUCUGGGACAAAUCAAGCAAAAGGGGCAGGAAGAGUCUAAACAAUAAAGAAAAGGGUUGCAAUCAAUAUUCAGAAACAGGACAUGACCAUAUAUCUCUCUUUUUUACAAUUUUACUUACGGAGGAAGGAGGCAACUGACGUUCCAAUGCCCAGAUAUACGAAGUUCAGGACAACCUGGAGGAGGCCAGAGGAAGAAGAAGAUCCAGCGUUAAAUUUGUCACGCCAUCACUGAUCGAGCGGCACCGGCACCGGCACGGCACACACACUCACCUUGGUCACGCUGCG